ACUUGGAAGAAUGUAUUAAUGAUUAUAUUAUAUAAAAUUCUAAAUAAAAAACUGAUAAUGACAACUUUUUAUUUAUUAGUCUUGACCAAAUUACGUGCCAGCAGUCGCGGCAACACGCAGAAGACAAGUGUUAUUCAUCUUUAUUCGGUUUAAAGGGUACCUAGACGGGAAAUCAAGCCUGCCCUCGGUUUUCAUUUUUCUUUACCUGUAAAAUGGCCGAGGGUAUAAUAAACUAUUUUCUUCCUAUAGAAAAUGAGGAACUAGUUUUCUAGAGUUUAAUGAAAGAAAGUCGAAUAUCUGGAGUAGAGAUACAAUAUUUUGAUACUGGAUGGACGGGUAACGGCGUAGGCAACUUUCUAUGUAAAAACUGACGUUGAGGGACGAAGCCCUAGGUAGCGAUAUGGAUUAGAUACCCAAGUAGUCCGGGGAGACAAUGAUGAGUGCCAUAAGCUAGAUAUAUUAGUUUAUAAAUGAAAGUGCAAGCAUUCCACCUCAUGAGUAAGGCGGCAACGCAUAAAUUGAAAUCAUUAGACCGUUUCUGAAACCAGUAGUGAAGUAUGUUAUUUAAUUCGAUGAUCCGCGAAUAACCUUACCACGUUUUGUAUACUAUUUAAUUAAUACAAGCGCUGCACGGCUGUCUUUAGUUAAUGUCGUGAGACUUUGGUUAAUUCCUUUAAUUAACGCAAACCCUUGUUUUAUUUAUACAUAAAACUGUUUUCCGCUAUAUUGGAUAAGAUAAUAGGGAUUAAGGCAAGUCAUCAUGGCCUUAAUAACGUGGGCUAUAGACGUGCCACACAUGCCUUCACAAAAGGAUGCAAUAUUGUGAAAUAAAGCUAAUCCUUAAAAUAGGACAUAACAUAUCGUGGAU
rnacentral:rRNA from 1 species